CGCGUUUAAACACAUGUAAGGUUAUGUCGCUUGACGUUUUGAAAAAAAAAAUAAAGAAAAAAUAAUAUGAUGUUUAAAAAUUAAAAAAUAUAGAUGCCAAUAAAACACAAAAAAAAAAAAUUAAAAUACACAUUAAAAAAAUUAACACGAGAAUUUAUUUCUUAAUUUUUUGUUUCUUUACGAUAUUUUGACUGCUUUUUGUACAUUUUUAAAAGAAUUUUUUACAAAACAUGUAAAAUAUUAUUACGUGAAUAUUGAUAUAAUUUUUUAAAACCAACAAUGAAAGAAAGAAAUUUGAGCAACAUUUGGAAAUAAAAAAAAAUUUUAAAGUUGAAUAAAAGAAUAAAUCAAAAUAUAAAAAUUAAGAAGAGAAAAAUGUGAAAAGCGAGAUUUAAUUGAUUGCUGGUCCUGUGAAAUUUCGACAUCAUUCCGAAUUAAAUAUUAAAAUAAGAAGAGAACUGGAAGAGAAAAACUCUAAGUGGUAUGAUACAAAUAAAAAAUAGGAGAAAAAAAGGAUAAAAUAGGAGUAAAAGUUAAAAAAAAAAAAUAAAAAAAAAAAAACAGAAAAAUAAAAUUAAUUUGUUUUUUCUUCGUAACAAAAACAAUAAAAACAAACGUGAAUAACAGUCUUUAUUCAUUUAAAACUACAGCAAAUGGACAACAAAAAAAUUUAAGUAAACAUAAUAACAAAACAACUAUGAAGAAAAAAACCUAAAUUAAAACAAUACUAAAAACACUUUAAUAACAACAAUAAUAAACAGUGAUUCUAACAGAACGUGUAAACAUACACACAAACACACACAAGCACAUUUUUAUUCUAAUAAAAAAUAUAAUCAUUAAGAGAAAUUCGAAAAUAAUUGCUCUUACCAAAGAAGUGUUAGUGAAUGAAUAAUGAUGGUAAGCAUUUAAAAUAAGAAGGAAAAUAAGAAAAAAGAUAAUGUUUUCAUAUUUUAAGUGAGAAAAUAAAAAAAUAUGUAACAAAAAUUAAUUUGUUAAUUAAAUAAAUAUUUUAAACGAUUAAAUUAGAUAGAAUUUAUUUUAUAAAAUUAUUAUUGUGCUAAAAACUAAAUUAUAAAACAAAAAAUUUACAUUAUUAAGAGAUAAAGAUCCUUUUUUAUAUUAUAUACACACAUAAUAAUAUAUUUGAAUAACAAAAAUAUAUGAGUGCAAUAAUAAGGUCAAGUUUACACCUGGCAGAAUUUGAAUUUGUCAAAUUUAAUAGCAUUUUGGUAGGAUUUUCAUAUUUAAUUUUCGCGAAAAUUCUUAUGUAUAAAACUACAUUAAAUUGAUAGGAUAUUUUUUUUAUUUUAUUUUUCAUUUUGAAAUAUUUCUUGAAGAAAUGUGUGAAAUAGUUAUACACUAUAAAGAAACAUUUUAGAAUUUAACUCAAUAUCUUAAAUGAAAUUGCAACCCCGUAAAUAAAAGGAAAAACUUCAACGAUAUUUCACAUUAUACAUACAUACAUAUAUAAAUUUGAAUUUACAUAUAAUUCAGUUACAUACAUAAUUAUAUUUGCAAAAAUAAUAUUAUGAAUACAAAAAGAAAAAAAUAUCAUAAAAAUUAUAUUUUACAAAUGUUACUUGAAUUAAAAGAACUUGAUUAAAAUAUUGAGAGAAAAAAAUUAACAGCUACGAGUAUUACAAUUUUCAAAAAUUACAAGGAGAAAAUACAACAAACUUACCUACUUAUAAAUAAAAAAAUUUUUAAUUUUUACCUUACCACAUAUACAUAUACAUAAAAGGCUGUGUGCAUUUAAUAUUAUUGAAAUAAUAACUAAGUAUAUUUUGAAAUUUUUUUUCGAAUACAAAAAACUAUUAAUAUAAAAACUCUAAAAAAUUAACAAAGCUAAAGGAAAGAACCGAAAUGAUGGCGAAUUUAAUGGAAUUUUUCUUAUUUCUUAUUUUUAUUCAAGGUACGUUUACAUUAAAAUUUAAAUUGAAUUCCUGUCAAGCAACUUUACCACUACCGUACGUAAGUUUUUAGUUUAUUAUUUAUUUUAUAUUUGUG